CACGGGUCCGAGGUGGCAAGAGACAGACAGCACUGCUGUUUCCACAUUCCUGCUGAGACCUUUUCAUACCCCAGACUAUAGCAGUUGUCUCUCCCCUCCCGCUGUGGGCUAUCUCUUUACACUCAAGCUACUGAAAGUGCUUGUUUACAGCAAGAGAAGGAUGCCGUGCUCGCACACGAAUCAACACGCUGUUUCCUUCAUCAAAGUCUGGCUACCAAAGAAAAAAAGAGUACCCACUGAACUCAAGAGUGUUCACCACGAUAGAGCAGAUUUACGUUCUCCUGGGAGCUCUUUCUCUCAGUAAUAAACAGCUGUGAGGAGGCAGCCUAUGUUCUCGCACAUUCCUACCUAUUCUGCGGCUUGGGAAUAAAUGUUAUUUAUGCCCA